AGAAGCUUUUUUCCUCAUUCUCUCUUCUUUGUCUUUUAUCAGGCGACAUCCUGAGGUCGAGUCCAUCUAUUUGCUUCAACCUGGUGGUGCCCCUUCCUGUUGAGGAAAAAGGAGAAAGCAUGUCUGCUCCAGGUACUUCAGGUGAAAUUUUUCAGUGGUUCAGAGGCCA